CGUACACUCCUGCGGGAGGCAACAGUGGGGAAUAUUGGACAAUGGGCGCAAGCCUGAUCCAGCCAUGCCGCGUGAGUGAUGAAGGCCCUAGGGUUGUAAAGCUCUUUCACCGGUGAAGAUAAUGACGGUAACCGGAGAAGAAGCCCCGGCUAACUUCGUGCCAGCAGCCGCGGUAAUACGAAGGGGGCUAGCGUUGUUCGGAUUUACUGGGCGUAAAGCGCACGUAGGCGGACUAUUAAGUCAGGGGUGAAAUCCCGGGGCUCAACCCCGGAACUGCCUUUGAUACUGGUAGUCUUGAGUUCGAGAGAGGUGAGUGGAAUUCCGAGGGUAGAGGUGAAAUUCGUAGAUAUUCGGAGGAACACCAGUGGCGAAGGCGGCUCACUGGCUCGAUACUGACGCUGAGGUGCGAAAGCGUGGGGAGCAAACAGGAUUAGAAACCCUAGUAGUCCCAUGA
rnacentral:rRNA from 1 species